UAUAGGAAGUCAAGACAACAACAACGUGAGUCGCCAGUUUACCGCUGCUGACUCCCUGAUACGCUCACCACACAUAACUCUCCCUCUCCACCCUCACCAUGUCCACCGAGAAGCAGCCAGACACCAAGCCCAAGAUCGACCUGGGCUUGCUGGAGGAGGACGAUGAGUUUGAGGAAUUCCCAGCAGAAGACUGGGGCGCGGCGGAGGAGGACGCGGAGGACAUCAAUGUGUGGGAGGACAACUGGGAUGACGACAACAUUGAGGAUGACUUCUCCCAGCAGCUGAGGGCCGAGCUGAACCUCCAGCCAAUGCAGUAGCAGCAAAUGAAGACUCAGUGUUCUGGACGGAUUCAGUGGUUUUGUAAUAGCUUUGCUUCUGUCUCUUGAUUCAAAGCCAGUCAUUAUUUUCACUCUGUUCUCAUACAUCAAAUAUUUGUAAUAAAAUACUAAAUCCAA